rnacentral:rRNA from 1 species
CCCAUUACGCAAGUAAGUAAGAUCCCUCAAAGAUGAUGAGGUGGAUAGGUCUGGGGUGUAAGUACGGCGACGUAUGUAGCUGACAGAUACUAAUCGAUCGAGGACUUAACCUAUUU